UGCCAGCCGCCGCGGUAAUACGGAGGGGGCAAGCGUUGUCCGGAUUUAUUGGGCGUGUAUAGGCGGUCUGCCAAGUCUGUUGUGAAAUCUCCUGGCUCAACCGGGAGGGUGCGGCGGAAACUGGCAGGCUAGAGUGCGAGAGGGGAGAGUGGAAUUCCUGGUGUAGCGGUGAAAUGCGUAGAUAUCAGGAGGAACACCGGUGGUGAAGACGGCUCUCUGGAUCGCUACUGACGCUGAGACUCGAAAGCGUGGGGAGCAAACAGGAUUAGAUA
rnacentral:rRNA from 1 species